GAGUUUGAUCUUGGCUCAGCCUGAACGCUGGCGGCGUGGCUAAGACAUGCAAGUCGAGCGAUCGUUAACGGGUAGCGAAUAUUCGUUAGCGGGAGCGGCGCAAGGGUGCGUAACACGUGGGUAAUCUGCCGUGAAGUUUGGGAUAAUCCCGCGAAAGCGGGACUAAUACCGGAUGUGACAACUGGGAGGCAUCUUUUGGUUGUUAAAGUUGGGGACCGUAAGGCCUGACGCUUCAUGAUGAGCCCGCGGCCUAUCAGCUAGUUGGUGAGGUAACGGCUCACCAAGGCUAAGACGGGUAGCUGGUCUGAGAGGACGACCAGCCACACUGGAACUGAGACACGGUCCAGACACCUACGGGUGGCAGCAGUCGAGAAUUUUUCACAAUGGGCGCAAGCCUGGUGGAGCGACGCCGCGUGGGGAUGGAAUGGCUUCGGCCGUAAACCCCUGUCAUUUGCGAUCAAACCUCGUUAUUUAAAAGA
rnacentral:rRNA from 1 species